AGUGAACGCUGGCGGUAGGCCUAACACAUGCAAGUCGAACGGCAGCACAGUAAGAGCUUGCUCUUACGGGUGGCGAGUGGCGGACGGGUGAGGAAUACAUCGGAAUCUACUUUUUCGUGGGGGAUAACGCAGGGAAACUUACGCUAAUACCGCAUACGACCUACGGGUGAAAGCAGGGGAUCUUCGGACCUUGCGCGAUUGAAUGAGCCGAUGUCGGAUUAGCUAGUUGGCGGGGUAAAGGCCCACCAAGGCGACGAUCCGUAGCUGGUCUGAGAGGAUGAUCAGCCACACUGGAACUGAGACACGAUCCAGACUCCUACGGGAGGCAGCAGUGGGGAAUAUUGGACAAUGGGCGCAAGCCUGAUCCAGCCAUACCGCGUGGGUGAAGAAGGCCUUCGGGUUGUAAAGCCCUUUUGUUGGGAAAGAAAAGCAGCAGGUUAAUACCCCGCUGUUCUGACGGUACCCAAAGAAUAAGCACCGGCUAACUUCGUG
rnacentral:rRNA from 1 species